UACAGAGGUCCCCAAGCGUUGUUCGGAUUCAUUGGGCGUAAAGGGUGCGUAGGCGGCGCGGUAAGUCGGGUGUGAAAUCUCGGGGCUUAACUCCGAAACUGCAUUCGAUACUGCCGUGCUUGAGGACUGGAGAGGAGACUGGAAUUUACGGUGUAGCGGUGAAAUGCGUAGAUAUCGUAAGGAAGACCAGUGGCGAAGGCGGGUCUCUGGACAGUUCCUGACGCUGAGGCACGAAGGUCAGGGGAGCAAACGGG
rnacentral:rRNA from 1 species